AUACUACUCCCUCCGUUCGGAAUUACUUGUCGCAGAAAUGGAUGUAUCUAGAUGUAUUUUAGUUCUAGAUACAUCCAUUUCCGAGACAAGUAAUUCCGAACGGAGGGAGUAACAU
rnacentral:pre_miRNA from 1 species